AUUGACGCAUCUAAACCUGCAACACACAAAACCCAUCAUCCUUCUGCAACACAUCGACAAAACCUUAUCCUUCAAGCAGAUUCAACAGCGGCGCAAUUCCCCCAAUUCAUCUCAAAUCCUUCGUCGGUUUUGAUUUCGAUUCCUCUCAGACCCAUCAUCAACUUUGAUUCUUCUUAAACCCUAAUUUCGUAUUCCCCCCAAUUUCAUCUUCCCCCAAUUUCUUCUUCCCCCAAUUUCUUGAUGAAACCAUUUAGCUAGCAAUUCAACUCAACAUUUUGGUGCUACAAUCGCAAUUCAACUCAACAUUUUGGUGCUACAAUCGCAAUUCAACUCAACGUUUCGAUGCUACAAUCUCAAUUCAUCUCAGCAUCGCAACUCAACGUUUUGUAUUCUCAUAAUUGUUGUGUCUUCUGUUGGAUAUUCUCUCUUUAGCUUUUCAAGAUUUUCUCUUCGGCGACUGUCGAUCUAUUUUUUGCGUUUUCUACUUCAAAGGUGGAAUCAAGGUUUUCGGUUGUGGCUUCAGGUGUAAAUCAUCAAGUUUCAUCAAGAGAGCUUCAACAUACAUCAUUGGAGAAUAUCUGAUUUGAAGGGGAACGAAACCAUGUCAUUUCCUGAUUUGAAAGGUUUGAAAGGCAUGACAAGACUGGAAUUGCAAAGUUGUUUAAUUGCAGGUCCUAUUCCAGAUUACAUUAGUGAAAUGCGGAAAUUAAGAGAACUGUAAGUUGGAUCAAUAGUACAUGCUGGCUAUAAAUUCUUCAAAUUUCUUUAUAUUUACAUGCAAACCAAUAAAUACAAUGUCAUCUCGUGUUAUCUUCAUAAAGUUACAAUGACAUAAGCUAUUGAAGCUUUCAGUGACAUAAAUGAGUUGUACAUAUUAACGAUGGAUGCAGGUUUCUGACAAACAACUUUCUGAGCGGAACAACUCCAGCAUGGAUGCUGAGCAGCAAUCAGCAUAUGUCAGCACAUUUUCUUGAUUUUUUACCUCUAAUUGCAUACGGUUUACUCACAUGUUGGAAUUUUGGUGUUACACAAGCACACCUUUUAUUUCUGCUCUUCAACAUAGGUCCAGACAAUGCCUCGAUGCAAUUGAUCAAAUGGGUGCAGCAGUCCAGGUUUAAAUUGAUCAAAUGGGUGCAGCAGUCCAACCUUACGGUGCUUAUGGUAAGGCUGAACUAACUUCAUACUAAUAGAGCAAUUAGAGCAGCUCACUGUCCGACUUCAAUUCAGAAAAUUCAACAUCAGGAAUGAGGCCACCAACUCUUAACAUUUUUCCUUCUGAGCCUAUGCAUGUAGAGCCAUCAUCUUCCAACUCAAAUGUGCUAACAUGGAGUUACUUUCUCCGGAAACAAGUGGAUCAAGGAAAACCAAUCUACCAAAACAAGUCUUCUCUGGCUCUGAACCAUCCAAAACUGUCA